ACGAGACUUGGAGAGGCGGUGCCGCGGGGAGGCGUGUCGGGCGUCGGCGCGGUGCCCUUCGCCUCGCAGAUUUUACCGCCAGUGAUGUAGGCUCCUUGUGCGUCCUAAUUGGAAGAAGCCACGCUCCCGAGUAUUAGGAAGGGACGGAGAGUCUUAUUUGCGUUCCCAUUGUUUGUGGGUCACCUAAGGAGACCCUGGAGCCGGGAACUCUUGCUUGUUCCAGCCCAACAUGGCCUACAGAGUGAGAUCCUGUCUCAAAAAACAAGAGAAGGCUGAAAAAAAUGGCUCAGCACCUGCUGCUCUUCCAGAAGACCCAGUCACAGGACAUCUACGCUUCUUACAAUUUCCUCAUAUGAAAUGCAUCACGAUCCUCUCGGUCAAGGGAAAUGUCAGGCUUCCUCAUCAGUCCCGCCUCUACACGUCUCGCCCAAUCUCUGCAAUUGGUCUUCUUUCCACCAGCAUCCCUCUUUAACAUUUUUUUAUCAGUCCGGCAUAUGAGAUUUUAAUGGCUCUGUUGCAGCUUUCUCUUCUUCAGUCAGUAGAGUUAGCUAGAAAAACAAAUAACAAAAUGUUUAUUUCAAAACCUUCAAAGGUUGUUAAACGAGUUAAAUUUUGCUUCAUUGCACAAACUUUUUCAUAAUCUUAUACUACAUAUUUAGUCUUGAAAUUUGAAAGGCAAGGGAAAACAAUAGCCAUC
ensembl:antisense Gm11491 predicted gene 11491